CCGAAAUUGUGAUAAACAGUACAGUUACGGAUUAUCCUGCAAAACCAAUUACCUACAUAUUUGCUGCUUCCACGGAUGGAAAAAACUACGUUUCUUUUUACACCGGAAAAGAAUCAAAUGGUUGUACUCCUAUAAAACGAUUCAUUAAUGAAAUAUAUACCGGAAUAGCACAGAGAUUAAAAAUAUAUCCAGUUGCUUGUCCUUUUAGAAAAGGAUUUUAUAAAGGAUCCAAUUUUUCACUGGCAGAAAAUAUGUUUAAAAGCAUUCCAAUGCUGCCAAAAGGAUAUAUAAAAAUAACCGUGAUAGUUUACAGUGGUAAUGAUCGACGAACUGAAUUAUCAUGUACAAACUUUCAACUUGAAAAGCAAUAAUAAUCAAAAUGAUAGCAAAGA